GGUCUGUAAGCAUGAUGACGUUCCAGCCCUCGGCCCGUAAGCGUGGGUGCGUGGAAGUCACCAUGGAUCUAGUUGAAAUGCCUAAGGCCUGAGGCCUGAGACCCAUGUUUCCAGCCAGCUCAGUAGGUCCCCACAUAGCACCCCGAGCAGCAAGGCCGUUGGGUGCACUAAUUUAAAACCUCACUUGAAAUUAGUGUGCCAGCAUUCAGGCAGCAAGAGUCAGGUGUCAACAUCCCCCGCGGAACCCAGGACCCGAUGGAUUCCUACAGUGAAAGAAACAUGGCCCGACUGGGAGCAGCUUCGCUGGGGAAGAGCUGAAGCACACAGGGUGAGGAGGGGUUGUCCUGGAGGUGCGAGCCUUUCAGGCCAAGGAACCACAGCCUGCGAAGCUCCUCCCCAUGACAAGAGAGCGGAGGCGUCUUACCUUGGACUGCCAUCAGGUGGUUAUAUAGGUCACAGUGAGUGUCCCAGAGUAGACAAGGGAACACGGCCUUCGGUUCUGUUUCCCCUGGGGGCAGAGAGUCUCAGCCCUGGAGAAGUUAACAACAACUGAGCCAUAGUUUCCCCUGUGAUUAAGUUGCAACACUGACCAUCAUCAUCACGCAGUUGUCUUCCGAUUGUGCCCCAGUUAGUACCUAAAGGGAGAACCCACCUUCUCCGGCUGCUCAGAAAAUGCCAGAAGCUUCCAGAAGAGAAAUCCAGUGAGUUCAGCUAAGAAACCCAAGCACUGUUAAAGGAAAAGCAUCUGGUAGCAAUACAAGACUGCAUUUGGUUCAAGGAAUGCUUUCAGAUCUCAUUCAAACUCACACGACUCAAGACUAAACCUGAUGGUGGAUGACAGUUAUUUUGAUGUAGCCACAGAAACAAUCCUCUGUAAUGGCAGUAGUACCGACUCAGGUUACGAUAAAUGAAUUUUUGAUUUGGAGAAAUUUGUAGUAUACAGAACUUGUCCUUUGAGAGACUUUAUUAGAAUUUUAUAUUGGGCUUUUUCUAACUAACAUAAUUCGAGCGAACACAACGUUAUUACAAAGAACCAAUGUUUCUCCUUCAUAUAUGGUGUCCCUCAGAACUCACUAUCCUUGAUUUUUUUUUUUUUCCCUUGGACUCAGAUCUUUUCCUCCCUCCCUCGCCGCAUCCUACUAAAGAUGAGCAUGUGAUGCCUCAAGAAAAAGAAGGAGCAGGGAAAGGGACACACAUCAACUUUGGUGGAGGACUUAAAGGUUUUGUCUGUUUUGUAAAAUUAAUGAGCUUGUUUGGGGAUGAAAAUUCAUCAUCUUCAGAAUUACAUUUUAACCACAAAGGCAACACAACCCAGCAGGCAUGUCUGAUUUUACCUUUACUGGGUGAGGAUGUGUUGGUUUAGGUGAUAGGCUCUUUAGUAAUAAGGAGAAACUUUUUCUGGUUCACCUGCUACCUUUACUGCUUGGUUUUGGAUUCCAUUUGUAUCCAGUGGAGUAAAACGCAUGUAUGUGUAUUUUAUGGCCUGUCCCUACCUCCUGGUUCAGCCCUGAUAUCCCCAUGGUCUCUACUGGGCUUUUUCAGAACUGGCACAGGCUAGAAAUAGAAAUGGCUUCAAAAACUGUUUAGAUAAACUCAUGGAUGGGCCGUGUAAUUAAUUAUUAAGGGAGGCUGCAUGGUUUGUGUUACCCCCCUGGCCUUUUUAUGGUUGAGAUCAGAGGCAGUAAAUACGCUCUCCUGCCAAAUUGCUAUCAGAGACAAAAAGGAAAACUGCAUGGACUGACCUCAUGGAUGAACAUUUUUAUGACCUUUUCAAUUACCUUCUAUUUUUACAAAAGGGAGCAAACACAUAAUAUCUUGGGUAGAUUGGCUUAAACUGUUCAGACUAAGUUGGCCAGGAGGAAUGGUCUAUCAUAACUGAGGAGGGCAGGAUACGAUCUUGAAAGGCAAGGCUGCCAACACGGCUGAAGUGCAAAUAUGGCUUUAGUCAAAAUGUAAUUGUGCAGUAUUGAAAUGAUUUGCUAGUUAUGCAACUAUUUUUAUAGUCAUAAACUUAAAAAGUAAUUCUGAAGCUGUCUGAUGGGUGCAUGGGAGUUCAUUAUCCCAUUCUACUUCUAUAUAUGUUUGACAUUCUCCAUAAUAAAAAUUUUAAAGUAA